GACGAACGCUGGCGGCGUGCCUAACACAUGCAAGUCGAACGGGGCCCGCAAGGGUUCAGUGGCGAACGGGUGCGUAACACGUGAAGAACUUGUCCAUCGGCGGGGAUAGCCGGCCCAACGGCCGGGUAAUACCGCGUACGUCGUUCGGGGCGCAUGCCCUGGACGGGAAAGCAGCAAUGCACCGAUGGAGAGCUUCGCGGCCUAUCAGCUUGUUGGCGGGGUAAUGGCCCACCAAGGCACGACGGUAGCUGGUCUGAGAGGAUGACCAGCCACCAUUGGGACUGAGACACGGCCCAGACUCCUACGGGAGGC
rnacentral:rRNA from 1 species